rnacentral:rRNA from 1 species
UUGCAGUUGAAAAGCUCGUAGUUGGAUUUCUGGCGGAGUGUCCUCCGGCUGACAGUUCGUUUGGUCCGGAGCGCUCCACCAUCCUUCUGUUAACCGUCACGGGAUUUACUUCCCGAGUCGGGGCUCAGAUAUUUUACCUUGAGAAAAUUAGAGUGUUUCAGGCAGGCUAGCGCCGGAAUACAUUAGCAUGGAAUAAUGGAAAAGGACUUCAACCUCUUCUGUUGGUCUGGGAGGCUGUAGUAAUGAUUAAUAGGGAUAGUUGGGGGCAUUAGUACUUGACUGUCAGAGGUGAAAUUCUCCGAUUUGUUAAAGACUAACUUAUGCGAAAGCAUUUGCCAAGGAUGUUUUCAUUAAUCAAGAACGAAAGUUAGGGGAUCAAAGACGAUCAGAUACCGUCCUAGUCUUAACCAUAAACUAUGCCGACUCGGGAUCGGAGGCACGCAAAAUCGGUCUUCGGCACCGUAUGAGAAAUCAAAGUCUUUGGGGUUCU